rnacentral:rRNA from 1 species
CCUACGGGAGGCAGCAGUAGGGAAUCUUCCGCAAUGGACGAAAGUCUGACGGAGCAACGCCGCGUGAACGAUGAAGGCCUUCGGGUCGUAAAGUUCUGUUGUUAGGGAAGAACAAGUGCUAGUUGAAUAAGCUGGCACCUUGACGGUACCUAACCAGAAAGCCACGGCUAACUACGUGCCAGCAGCCGCGGUAAUACGUAGGUGGCAAGCGUUGUCCGGAAUUAUUGGGCGUAAAGCGCGCGCAGGCGGUUUCUUAAGUCUGAUGUGAAAGCCCCCGGCUCAACCGGGGAGGGUCAUUGGAAACUGGGAAACUUGAGUGCAGAAGAGGAAAGUGGAAUUCCAAGUGUAGCGGUGAAAUGCGUAGAGAUUUGGAGGAACACCAGUGGCGAAGGCGACUUUCUGGUCUGUAACUGACGCUGAGGCGCGAAAGCGUGGGGAGCAAACAGGAUUAGAUACCCUGGUAGUCCACGCUGUAAACGAUGAGUGCUAAAGUGUUAGAGGGUUUCCGCCUUUAGUGCUGAAGUUAACGCAUUAAGCACUCCGCCUGGGGGAGGUACGGUCGCGAGACUAGAACUACAAGAAGUAGUACGGCGUGAGACGAGCGACGACGACGACGAGGGAGGAGG